UGGAGGUUGCAGUGAGCUGAGAUCAUGCCACUGAACUCCAGCACUCUAGCCUGGGCAACAGCGAGACUUUGUCUCAAAAAAAGAAAUCAUAAUGGAACCCUUACAAAUGUAAUGAUAUGGUAAGUAAUUUGACCAAUUUUCUUAUAAUUUAUCUGAGAGCUCACAUGAAGUCUAAUUCUCUGCCAUUAAUCUUUUAUACUAUAUUCUGCAGAAUAAUUACAAUUCAAAAUAUGUUAAAAGUUAUGACAUAUAUGAAAGACUCAAGGGUAUUUGGAAAUGGCCAGUUACCUUAAGGUUAUAAAAUAAUGUAUUACAUUAUUGAAGGAGAAAGGUUUCUUUACCAUUUUUGACUUUCAGGCUGACAUUUGAAAUGUUUUCACGAUGUCUUUCUUACAGUCAUUUCAUGAUCUACAGGCAAGAAUAGAAGGAAAUGGCCUACUUCAUUAGCUUUAUCUUACCUAUAGGAUUCUUCAUGUCUAGACACAAACAGUGAGAAUCUACAAAUUGUUUUCAGGAUGGAAUCAGACAUCAUACAAUUUGAGGACAUACAAUCAUGCCUGCCUCCUCUGAUUGUUACAAAGCUGCCCAGCAGGUUAAACUUGCUUGCCUAACUUUGGGUCUGUAUAUCCUUAUCUCUUGGCUAACCUUACAUUUUGGCGCCAAACCCGAGAAAAGCAUCCUUAAGGGGCUCUCUCUGUCCCUCUCUCUCCUGGCCAACCCUCCCCUUCUCAAACCUGCUGAAGACCCAGAGGCUCUCCAAGACUCUCCCACUGCCGGCGACCUCAUCUACCAUCAGAGCCUCUGCCAGGGUAAGAGACUUUUGCCAUUCACCCAGAACCCUUGAUGUCUCUGCCUUCCCGAAAGACCCAGUGCUGGGCCAAGGGCUUUCUCCAGCCUCCAGGCCUCUGGUUCCUCCAUUUCAGGGAUGCCUGACUCGGUGGCUACCUCCUGUAAUCUGGACAGGGCCCGCAGGACAGGGGACACCCUCUCCUGCGCUGCUUGUCAAUUGGCAGUCUCUUCUUCCUCCCCAAUUCGCUGUGGGAGCCUUUCGGUCUACAUCUUCCAAAACUACCCCCAUUGGGUGUCUCCGGUAUAGUCUCAAUACAAAUUCGACAGUGGCUCACAAUGGCCCAAAAAUGGCACUUUUGAUUUCAAUAUACCUAGACAACUUUUGCCUUCACAAUGGGAAAUGGUAGCCAUCCUCUCCUCUGCCAGUCCUGUUCUACUUCCCAGAUCCUCCUCGCUCACUCCGAACCCAACUCUCCCUGUGUCACUGGCCCCACAACUCCAGCCCAUGACUGACAGCCUGCUACACGCCCCACAGCCCCAGCCAACAACUCCUCUGCCUUUGACCCCACUGAUUUUUCUCCUCCUCAUGAUUCCCCACCAGAGCCUCAUGAUACUCCGCCAUAUGCCCCGCUCUGGCCCUAUCCCUUCUUCCCCCUCUCUCUCCAACCACCCUGCUUCUGUCCGAGUCCUCCCCAUCUCCACCCCUUACCCGUCUCAAGCCCAACAUGCCCAGCAACGAGCUCCCUUGCUUCUCCUUUGGGAAGUAGCAGGGGCUGAAGGACUUGUCCGUGUCCACCUCCACUUCUCCCUCUCUGAUGUCUCCCAGAUUGAAAACCAUCUCGGGUCCUUCUCCUCCAAUCCUGAUACUUAUAUCAAAGAAUUUAAAUAUCUCACCUAGUCUGAUGAACACACUGAUCUCUAUAUUGCUCUCUCUUCUACCCUCCUUCCAAAAGGAAAGAUUGUGGCUCAUAGCCCAGGCACAGGCUGACAGUCUUCACUGGCAAGACCCUACAAAGCCUGUAGGAGCCGCUGCUGUUCCCCGGGAAGAGCCUUCCUGAGAGUGCCGACCCACAGACAGCGGCUGGGCAUCCCCCAGCCAUAUGAUCACCUGCCUCAUUGCAGGCCUUAAUAAAGCUGCCAGAAAACCAAAGAAAUUUCCCAAAAAGCAGAUGAAAAUUCGGCCAAGUUCCUUUUCUGCCUUACAGAGGCUCUCCAAAAACAUACUCAUGUUGACCCUGCCUCCCCAGAAGAAACUACUGUUCUUAAUACGCAUUUUAUCUCUCAAUCUGCCCCUGACAUCUGUCACAAACAGAAAAAGGCUGAAGACGGUCCUCAGACCCCCCAAGAAGACCUCCUUAACCUGGCUUUCAAAGUCUUCAAUAACAGGGAUGAGUAAAGUAAAUUAGAUAAAGCCCCCAAAAUCAUGCUAAAUACCAGCUUCUAGCCACAGGACCCAAGGGCACACAUGACCCAACAGCAGGGGCUCUCCUGGGCCUUGUUUAAAAUGCAGCAAAGAAGGCCACUGGGUGCAGGCAUGCCCUAACCCGAGUGCCAGAAACCCCUUGCCCACUUCGCCAUCAGGCCACUGGAAGUCUAACGUCCUCUCAACAGACAGACAGAAAAGCUUGCGCCUCAGAGCCACCACCUCUUCAGCAAGACGAAAAGUGAAGCGGGGCUUGCACUCCCGCAGCCCCUGGGCCUAGCUGCUGAAGCCUGGCGAGGCCCAGGGCCCCCAGCCCCCUCUGCCGUUACUGCCUCAGAGCCCAGGGUAACUCUGCUAGUAGCAGGUAAGCCCACUGCUUUUUAAAUCAAUACUGGGGUACAUUCGGCUUUGCCUCAAUUCUCAGGACCACUAAUUGCUCUCAGGUUUCAGUUGGGGUUGACGGACUCAUCUCGUGCCCACAUGCCACUGGACGUCUUACUUGUUCCCUAUUUAAUACUGUUUCCUCACCUCUUUCCUUACCAUGCCUCAUUGCCUUACCUCCAUCCUAGGCAGAUCUCUAACCAAAUACAAAGCUUCCAUCAGCUUUUUCUGUUCCCCACAACCAGAUUCUCUCCUACUCCACUACCACACCAGCCCUUCGCCCCUCCCCCAGUAUCCACUCCCCACUUCUCUUGUUAAUCCCGUAAUGUGGGACACUACCCCUUCUCCAGCAGCUCAUCAUGACCACAUCAAAAUCCAGCUAAAAGACCCCUCCAAAUUUCCUAACGUCUCUCAGUAUCCCAUUUCAUUAACACACCUAAAAGGCUUACGACCCACAUAUUGGCUAGUCUGCGAUUUCCGGACUAGCAAUCAGUCCUUCCCAUUCAUUCGGUGGUUCCCAACCCUUAUAUACUCCUUUUUUCUCAUCCCUGUAGACACAACACAUGACAUUGAAAUAGACCUAAAAGAUGCCUUUUUUAAAAAAAAAAACA